GACGUAGGGUCCAAGCGUUGUCCGGAUUUACUGGGCGUAAAGAACGCGUAGGCGGUCUGUUAAGUGAGAAGUGAAAUCUCCAGGGCUCAACCCGGAAACUGCUUUUCAUACUGGCAGACUUGAGGGAUGCAGAGGUGAAUGGAAUUCCUGGUGUAGCGGUGAAAUGCGUUGAUAUCAGGAGGAACACCCAUGGCGAAGGCAGUUCACUGGGCAUCAUCUGACGCUGAGGCGCGAAAGCGUGGGUAGCAAACAGG
rnacentral:rRNA from 1 species